rnacentral:misc_RNA from 1 species
GAUGAAGAACGCAGUGAAAUGCGAUAAGUAAUGUGAAUUGCAGAAUUCAGUGAAUCAUCGAAUCUUUGAACGCACAUUGCGCCCGCCAGUAUUCUGGCGGGCAUGCCUGUCUGAGCGUCAUUUCAACCCUCAUGCCCCUAGGGCGUGGUGUUGGGGAUCGGCCAAAGCCCGCGAGGGACGGCCGGCCCCUAAAUCUAGUGGCGGACCCGUCGUGGCCUCCUCUGCGAAGUAGUGAUAUUCCGCAUCGGAGAGCGAUGAGCCCCUGCCGUUAAACCCCCAACUUUCCAAGGUUGACCUCAGAUCAGGUAGGAAUACCCGCUGAACUUAAGCAUAUCAAUAAGCGGAGGA